CGCAUACGCCCACCCAGGGCGGGGCGGGCCUCGUACUCUUAUGCUCGUGUGCACAGACCUGUAGUCAGAAGAGUCUGCCUGGGAGGAAUCGAGCCUGGGAGAUCCGAGCGCGGGAAAGCCUGGACAGCGGAGCCGGCUGAAUGGUGUUCGGGCCCAUCCGCAUAAGCGAGUCCAAUGCCUCCAGCAGCAGGAGUUCAGCAGGAGCCUAGAUUCCCAUCUUUCUUCUGAUGGUGAUAAGCUGGAUGCUGGGAUAAAAUCCGACCCCGACACCUCCCCCAACUCUAGCGCUUGGCCUCUAGUUUAGUUGCUUGAGGGAAAAGUGGGGUGGAGGAAGAGUUAGAGAGAGGCAAGUAGUCUGCUCUCUUGUUAGGGACCAGAGAU